AUGGUUGAUCCAGAGGAAAUUUCCGCUGCUAAAAAACCCAGAAGAAAGGCAUUGGCAAUUGAAAAUGCCAAUUUUUUACUUCCACAGAUCUUAAUGAUAUUACUGCUUGUGCUGAAUGCUGUAAAUGAUUAUAAUCUGCAGUAACUGAAAACUGGUUAUUGUUCGUUGUAAAAGUUCUGUUAUUUGUCCUCAGAAAUCAUUGAUGUAAAAUGUAAAAUAUGAGCUUGCUUAAAAUUGCUUUGGAUCAUCUUAUGAGUGGACAACAUGGUAUUGAAUUAUGACUGGAGCUUUCUUUUGAUCUUUCAAAGAGGGCAAGCAAAGGGAAGCGGCAACUUAAAAUUGAUCUCGCACCAUAUCACCUCUAGGAGGACCUCGAGGCUUCUCAAAGGAAUCUCUCAGAUAAAACAACAAUUCAAUAAUUGGCAUUCCUUUUUCCAAAUCCUAUGUGGGAAAUAGACUUGCGGCUCUUCCUAGAUUUUUCUUAACGGCUUAGGUGCCUCGAAGCGAUCAAGUAAGUUCAGGUGAUCAGGUGGAAUGUCCGUUAUGGUGGCUCAAAUAAAUAAUCAUGCAACGUGAUGCUGUUCUUUCGAAUUGUCUUCUGGCAUUUUCUCCGCCCGGUUAAUCACCAAUGUUUUGUAUCUCCGUGUUAUUCCUAAAUGUUGUUUUAUUGAUUGUAAUCGUUUUAUUAUUGAUGAGAGAAACCAAAGUUGCUUUGGCUAA